rnacentral:lncRNA from 1 species
GACAGCUGGAGAAAUGUGUUUUCAGAUGUUUCCCAGUGAAAUUCCUGGCGCAUCUCCUGGUGGGAUCUGAGUAGGCAGGGUUGUUUGUAUUGGAGAGGCUACUGAUUGUGCACACACAUGACCCGGGGCUCCAGGGCAGACACUCCCGCUCCAGAUUCUCGGUGAUCCGGGCAGAGAGCUGCUGAUCAAGCAACAGCGGGGGCCGCACACACAAAGCUUCCUGCUGAGUUGCCAUGGUUUGUGUCCCCGUACCCUGAAGGGGCAGUUUUCAGUCCAAGAGGUCGUGCUUAGAACCCGUCAUCAACACUGAGGACUGAGUGGGGUGAAAAUGGGGGUGCUGCCCUAACUUUUAAGGUAAGAAGGAUGCUUCCUUUAUUCCACACUCCAGCCCAAGCAGAUCUGGUUCCUGAGCCGGAGAGCUGCGCGUCUGAGUGCCUAAUGAACAUAUCUAAACCUGAUCUUCCACAUCCCGCCGCUCCGUCAGAAAACAUCUUCCUCGCUUGCACCCACAUGACACCCCACAUCCAGUCACCAAGCUCUGCCGACCUUGCCUCCCGGGCAGAAUGCAAUUCCCGACCUUGGUUGUACGCCCCCUGCUCCUCCUCGGUCCUGGCCGUCAUUUCUCGACUUGGCUUCUUCCAACCCUUCACUGCCUUCCGAUCCAUUGUGCACGCUGCAGCCAGAGCAACAUUUCAAACAAACAAAUCUGAUCAUCUCAUUAAUCCGUCUAAAGUCUGUCAGUGGCUUCCCAUGGCCUAG